GAUGAAGAACGUAGCGAAAUGCGAUAAGUAAUGUGAAUUGCAGAAUUCAGUGAAUCAUCGAAUCUUUGAACGCACAUUGCGCCCCUUGGUAUUCCGAGGGGCAUGCCCGUUCGAGCGUCAUUAUACCCCUCAAGCCUAGCUUGGUGUUGGGGCCUGCUGUUACCGGCAGCCCUUAAAAUCAGUGGCGGUGCCAUCUGGCUCUAAGCGUAGUAAUACUUCUCGCUACAGGGUCCCGGUGGAUGCUUGCCAUCAACCCCUGAUUUUCUAUGGUUGACCUCGGAUCGGGUAGGGAUACCCGCUGAACUUAAGCAUAUCAAUAAGCGGAGGA
rnacentral:misc_RNA from 1 species